rnacentral:lncRNA from 1 species
UGAAAUAUUAGUUCUGGUUGCUAGUGCAGAUCUGGACUCGGAUCAAGGGUGUCGAGAGGGUCCUGGGUCCUGUUCCUUUGCCUUUCAAAAAGACUUUUUACGGAUUGAGAAUUUUUAAAUACCACUAGGGGAAAGGUGAAGGUUCUUUGCAGCCUUCAGUGUUGAAAUGGACGAAGGUAAGGAAGGCAAAUCAUUUUAAGACGAAAUCUCCGAUUUUUUAAAAAAGGAGGAAAAAAGCAGGGUGGCUAAGGAUAAAGAAAGAGGACUUGAGAAAAUGUGGAGAAUGAAAAACAGGAGAGCAGCGAGCAAAAGCAAAGAUCCAGAGUUCAAAGAGACUGGCAGAAGGAAAUAGCUGCGGGCUGAGUGCUGAAGAGGGGAGGGACUGACGGCUGCCGGCCGGUAGGAGCGCGGAGCUGCGCUGCGGCGGCCCAGGAGCUGCUGCGGUUCCCGCUGCUCGGGGAGCAGGCGGUGUGUGCGCGGCUGCGAAGUCGAGGUUGAAACUGCACCGCCAAGGCGCGCUCCUGCUGUGUCUGGAGCUCCGGCGUCUCCUCUGCCUCCCAGCUCAGCGCCUCCCACCCUCCUUCCCUCCUCCUCUUCCCAGCUCCCCCGCCCUCUGCUGCUCGCAGCCUCGCCAGUGAGAAUCUACUGUAAGUGUGAGUUGCUUCGACGAAGUCACACACCCACGGAGGGAAGUAAUCUGGAGGCUGCCUUGGAGUCUGAAAGCAGGUUCUUUUUAUUAUAAUGUGCUCCGAAUGGAUGAAGCAAAUUUAGAGGAAGAGCAGUGAAUCAGUUUCUCAGUUUGGCAAAAAGCCUCACGGGCAUGUACAGGAAGCCUUCCUGCAGACAUCCACAGUGAACAAGUCUAAGGACAAUAGCUUUCGUUGGCCCCCAAUAGAAGGAAGAUUUAAAACCAAUAGUUAUUUUACUGGAAUAGGUUUAAUUACUGGUAUUCUUGAAUGCAAUCAACAGUAAUUCUGUGUUGUGUUUUCUAGAUUAGAAGAAUUGCUGCUAUCUAAUGCAUCAUGUGUUUGAGAAUAGACUUCUAUGUCAAAGUAACAUUUUUAGUGAUGUGUGGCCUCACCACUUAAAUCCAGUUUAUUGAAUCUGAAGUGAUUUGCUCCUCUUUCUGGACUACACAAUAAACACCCUCCAACGUCCCCAGCCAUGCUCUUCCCAUCAUUUGGCUGAAAGGGGAGGAAUUCAAGGCCUUAGAGUGGGGAAGCUACAAUUUGGAAGAAUCCUGGAAGCACAGAUUACCCUGUGAAGCAGCAUCCCCAUGAGGGUCUCUUUCUUCUGUGAUAUAAGCAAGAAAUAAAUGAAUUGUGCAAAUCCAGCAUCUUCUGGCUGCUUUUGACUCAUAGCUUGGUUAAGAUGAGGUUAUCUAAGGUGUUCAUCAUAAGUCUCAAGGUGACAAUAGUCCUCAGGCAGACAAGAAGGAAUAAGGGUUUGAGAUGAAUGGCUACAGCUGAGAGUAUGCU